rnacentral:rRNA from 1 species
GAUGAACGCUCGCGGCAGGCCUAAUACAUGCAAGUCGAACGAGAUUAAGAGGCUUGCUUCUUAUGAAAGUGGCGCACGGGUGCGUAACGCGUAUGCAACCUACCUUAAUCAGGGGGAUAGCCCGAAGAAAUUCGGAUUAAGACCGCAUAAAAACACAGGAUAGCCUUAUCCAAUGUUCAAAUAUUUAUAGGAUUAAGAUGGGCAUGCGUGUCAUUAGCUAGUUGGCGGGGUAACGGCCCACCAAGGCGACGAUGACUAGGGGAUCUGAGAGGAUGACCCCCCACACUGGUACUGAGACACGGACCAGACUCCUACGGGAGGCAGCAGUAAGGAAUAUUGGUCAAUGGAGGGAACUCUGAACCAGCCAUGCCGCGUGCAGGAAGACAGCCCGCUGGGUCGUAAACUGCUUUUAUUCGGGAAUAAACCUUUCUACGUGUAGGAAGCUGAAUGUACCGAAGGAAUAAGGAUCGGCUAACUCCGUG